UAGGGUUUGAUUCUGGCUCAGGACGAACGCUGGCGGCAUGCCUAACACAUGCAAGUCGAACGAGAAAGUUCCUUCGGGAGCGAUUAAAGUGGCGCACGGGUGAGUAACGCGUAGACAAUCUGCCCUUCAGUCUGGGACAACUUUUCGAAAGGAGAGCUAAUACCGGAUGACAAUGUAACACAUAAGUGUCACAUUUGAAAGCUCCGGCGCUGAAGGAGGGGUCUGCGUCCCAUUAGCUAGUUGGUAAGGUAAAGGCUUACCAAGGCGACGAUGGGUAGCGGGUUUGAGAGGACGAUCCGCCACACUGGAACUGAGACACGGUCCAGACUCCUACGGGAGGCAGCAGUGGGGAAUAUUGCACAAUGGAGGCAACUCUGAUGCAGCAAUGUCGCGUGAGUGAAGAAGGCCCUUGGGUCGUAAAGCUCUUUUAUGGGGGAAGAUGAUGACGGUACCCCAAGAAUAAGCACCGGCUAACUACGUGCCAGCCGCCGCGGUAAUACA
rnacentral:rRNA from 1 species